rnacentral:piRNA from 1 species
UGAGAGGUUGAUGAAUGGAAAUUCUUUC